rnacentral:rRNA from 1 species
UAAGGAAUAUUGGACAAUGGGGGCAACCCUGAUCCAGCCAUGCCGCGUGAAGGAUGAAGGCCCUAUGGGUCGUAAACUUCUUUUACAGGGGACAAAUAUCCAGUUCGUGAACUGGAUUGAUGGUACUCUGAGAAUAAGGGUCGGCUAACUUCGUGCCAGCAGCCGCGGUAAUACGAAGGACCCGAGCGUUAUCCGGAUUUAUUGGGUUUAAAGGGUGCGUAGGCGGACAUGCAAGUCAGUGGUGAAAUCUCUCUGCUCAACAGAGAAACUGCCAUUGAAACUAUGUGUCUUGAGUACAUUUGAGGCGGGCGGAAUGUGUCAUGUAGAGGUGAAAUUCUUAGAUAUGACACAGAACACCAAUUGCGAAGGCAGCUCGCUAAACUGUAACUGACGCUGAGGCACGAAAGCGUGGGGAUCAAACAGGAUUAGAUACCCCUGUAGUCC